rnacentral:rRNA from 1 species
AAUAGAUACCCGGGUAGUCCAUGCCGUAAACGUUGGGCGCUAGAUGUGGGGACCAUUCCACGGUUUCCGUGUCGCAGCUAACGCAUUAAGCGCCCCGCCUGGGGAGUACGGCCGCAAGGCUAAAACUCAAAGGAAUUGACGGGGGCCCGCACAAGCGGCGGAGCAUGCGGAUUAAUUCGAUGCAACGCGAAGAACCUUACCAAGGCUUGACAUAUACGAGAACGCUUCAGAAAUGAAGAACUCUUUGGACACUCGUAUACAGGUGGUGCAUGGUUGUCGUCAGCUCGUGUCGUGGGAUGUUGGGUUAAGUCCCGCAACGAGCGCAACCCUCGUUCUAUGUUGCCAGCGCGUUAUGGCGGGAACUCAUAGGAGACUGCCGGGGUCAACUCGGAGGAAGGUGGGGAUGACGUCAAAUCAUCAUGCCCCUUAUGUCUUGGGCUUCACGCAUGCUACAAUGGCCGGUACAAAGGGCUGCAAUACCGCAAGGUGGAGCGAAUCCCAAAAAGCCGGUCUCAGUUCGGA